GGCCUUGACAUACUAAGAACUUUCCAGAGAUGGAUUGGUGCCUUCGGGAACUUAGAUACAGGUGCUGCAUGGCUGUCGUCAGCUCGUGUCGUGAGAUGUUGGGUUAAGUCCCGNAACGAGCGCAACCCUUUUCCUUAUUUGCCAGCGGGUCAUGCCGGGAACUUUAAGGAUACUGCCAGUGACAAACUGGAGGAAGGCGGGGACGACGUCAAGUCAUCAUGGCCCUUACGGCCAGGGCUACACACGUGCUACAAUGGUCGGUACAAAGGGUUGCUGCCUCGCGAGAGGAUGCUAAUCUCAAAAAGCCGAUCGUAGUCCGGACCGCAGUCUGCAACUCGACUGCGUGAAGUCGGAAUCGCUAGUAAUCGCGGAUCAGAAUGCCGCGGUGAAUACGUUCCCGGGCCUUGUACACACCGCCCGUCACACCAUGGGAGUUUGUUGCACCAGAAGUAGGUAGUCUAACCGCAAGGAGGACGCUUACCACGGUGUGGCCGAUGACUGGGGUGAAGUCGUAACAAGGUAAGCGUAGAUGA
rnacentral:rRNA from 1 species